UGGAGGUGACUGGGGCUGGUGACAGAAGCAUUCACCAUUGCGUCCACUGCUGUGGGCAUCCUCAAUGACACCAUCCUCUGUAAAGCAUCGGUCUGUGGCCCCAAAGAGGUGUAUGUAACAGUGUCCCUCCUUCAAGCCAUCUGAUCCCACUGAUUCAUCAAGUGCUCAAUGGCCUCUGCGGUGUUCCGUCUCUUCAAAGUCCAGGAGAAUCUUUCCUCGGAGCAGAUGUUGAACCCAGGUCAUCUGGGAGAACAGGCAAACUCACCAAUAUAAGAUGACCGAAAAGCAGUCUGUGAGGAAAGAUCCUUUUACAAGAUUUUAAGCAGAGGUCUUGUAAUUAUAAGGAGGUUUGAAAAGCAUUUCUAGCAGUUGCUGACAGAUGCCCUUCGAACACUGCAUUGCCAGCGUGGUGCUACAGGGGACACGCUGACAGAUUUGCACAGGUCUUUUUGUGGUCCACGGAAGGAAACCCAGGCUCCUUUGUGUUUUAAGCCUUCAUUCGGCAUCCUGGUCCAGUGAGAAGGAAGAGGAUCAGCAUCAAACCCUGGACAGGGUCUCCCUGGCUGCCUUUCAAGUCGGUGAUGCCUUCAAGCCUUUAGGAAUGGAUUUCAAUUCAUAUGUUGAGCAGCUACCUGAUUGGGUUCUAUCUCCAGCCCUGCCUCCUAGCACAGGCUCCAGACGCGCA